rnacentral:snRNA from 21 species
AUACUUACCUUGAUGCGACUCCCUUGCCCACAAAUAAGGGGGCUCUGAAGAAACAGUUCGCAUUGCACUUCGCGAUCUUUGGUUUUUUGCGAAAUGCCUUAGGGCAUUUCGUUGCCGUAAUUUUUGAUUUCUACCUUUUGGGUAUA